AUCUUGCACCAUGAAAAGAGGCAUCACCAACACAGGGACAUCAGCAGCAUCAGGUCUUUAAUGACAUCAUCCAGCCACUACACCAACCCUGGGAACUGGUACAUCCAGCAACUGCCAACACAGGGCCUUAUGAAGGGAGAUGCCUAAAUGAUAUUUGUUGGAUGGAUGACAACUGUGUUUGCAGAAAAUGUUUGCUAACCCCAGACCUAAGC